AUGGACCAAUUCCAUGAUGAAAACCAUGCUUGGUUUUUUGGCUGGUCUUGUGCUAAUGGGAAGAGAACUUCAAGUGGAUUCAGGGAUGUGAAUCAUCGGCAAUGUGCAAUAGUUUUGAAAGAGCAAUGCAAUAUUUCUGUCACUGGAUAUCAAGUCAUAAACCAUCUCAAGAAGUGGAGGAAGAUUUGGGGAAGGGUGGUCAAUUUUAAUAAUUUAAGUGGAGCUCUAUGGGAUGAAGAUACUUGCACAAUUAGGAUCAGCGAGGGGCACUAUGCAGGGCUUUCUAUGACGCACAAAGCUUAUGCCCCCUUCUUGAAUACCCCAAUUGAAUACUAUCAUGCCAUGGCUUCCAUUUAUGGGACAAUUGGGGCCAGGGAUUGA
rnacentral:rRNA from 1 species